UUAUCCUUGUUUGCCAGCGAGUAAUGUCGGGAACUCCAGGGAGACGGCCGGUGAUAAACCGGAGGAAGGUGGGGAGGACGUCAAGUCACCAUGGCCCCUACGAGUAGGGCUACACACGUGCUACAAUGGCGCAUACAGAGGGCGGCCAACUUGCGAAAGUGAGCGAAUCCCAAAAAGUGGGUCGUAGUCCGGAUUGGAGUCUGCAACUGGACUCCAUGAAGUCGGAAUCGCUAGUAAUCGUGGAUCAGAAUGCCACGGUGAAUACGUUCCCGGGCCUUGUACACACCGCCUG
rnacentral:rRNA from 1 species